rnacentral:rRNA from 1 species
AGAGUUUGAUCCUGGCUCAGAACGAACGCUGGCGGCAGGCCUAACACAUGCAAGUCGAAGGAGAAGUUUCUCUUCGGAGAGAUGGACACUGGCGCACGGGUGAGUAACGCGUGGGGAUCUACCCCGGGGUGGGGGACAACCGCUGGAAACGGCGGCUAAUACCGCAUACGCCUUAAGAGGGAAAGCUUUAGCGCCCUGGGAUGAACCCGCGUUAGAUUAGGUAGUUGGUGGGGUAACGGCCUACCAAGCCGACGAUCUAUAGCUGGUCUGAGAGGAUGAUCAGCCACACUGGGACUGAGACACGGCCCAGACUCCUACGGGAGGCAGCAGUGGGGAAUAUUGGACAAUGGGGGCAACCCUGAUCCAGCCAUGCCGCGUGCGUGAAGAAGGCCUUAGGGUUGUAAAGCGCUUUCACUGGUGAAGAUGAUGACGGUAGCCAGAGAAGAAGCCCCGGCUAACUCCGUGCCAGCAGCCGCGGUAAUACGGAGGGGGCAAGCGUUGUUCGGAAUUACUGGGCGUAAAGGGCGCGUAGGCGGAAUAUCAAGUUAGGGGUGAAAGGCCUGGGCUCAACCUAGGACCGGCCUCUAAACUGAUAAUCUAAAGUCCGGAAAAG